rnacentral:lncRNA from 1 species
GACACAUACAGUGGGUUAUGCAACAUGACCAAGUGACAUUUAUUCUAGGAAUGCAAGAUUGGCUUAACAUUCAAAUUUCAGUCAAGGUAAUCCACCCUGUUAAUAUAAUAGAGGACAGGAACUAUAUCAUCAUCUUCAUAGACAGAGAAAAGUAUUUGACAAUAUCUGACACCCAUUAGUGAUAAAAUCAUGUCUACACAAAGACAUGUGCUCAGAUGUUCACUGCAGCAUUUUGCAGGAAGGCCCCAGGGUGGAAACAAGCCAAAUGUCUACCAAUCAGUAAAGGGAUAAAGAAGUGGUAUAUCCGUACAGCCGAAUGUUACUGAGCCGUGACAAAGAACACACUACUGAUGCACGUUUGAGCCUCCAAGACAUUAUGCUCAUUGACAGAUGUCAGACACAGAAGACCACUUAUUGCACAAGUCAGUUUAUAGGAAAUGCCCAGAGAGGCAGCUCUAAAGAGAGAGAAAGGAGCUUGCUAGUUGCCUGGGUGGGCCUGGAGGUAAAGUAAUGGGGAUUCACUGCUGCUAGUGGGUACCAGCGAUCUUUCUGGGGUGAUGGAAGUAUUCUGAAACUGGAUAGUGGUGAGGGCUGCAAAACUGUGUAAAUUUACUAAAACUCACUGUGUUAUUCCCUUUAGGUACGUGAAGUUUGUGGCAAGCAAAUUAUACCUUAGUAAAGCCAUUUAAAAAAUGUAGUGCAAGUGUGACCGUAAGUCACGGAGGAAGGGGUAUGCAGUCAUUUUUUUCUACAACAGUAAGCAACAUCCCCUCUCUUUCCCUGUUCCGCAUCCUGCCUACAUGUCCUGCCUGGUCGCCUGGCUCCUCCACGUGCACUUGAUGCUCCAGCCAGAUAGACUGUGCACACCUGGGCAGAGGGAGUGCUGGAAUACUCCUCAUGAAGUCUAUCCAGUCACAUCUAGUUAAGACCAGCAGCACUCUCCUGUCCAAAUGGAUGACCCAUGUUACGACUAAGGAACAGAAGACCAAAUAACAAACUGCUCCUCAGAUCCAUUAUGGAGGCCUUCUUGGCUCAAUUCCUGAAUAUGAUAUAUCCUUAUAAUUUUGUUUUCUCUCCAAAAAAGAAUAUGCUGGCAAUGAAAGGAGUUCAUCUUGUCUAAGAGGAGGGACUGGAAAAAUAAUUUAUUUUGAGAUAGGGUCUCACUCUGUUGCCCAGGCUGGAGUGCAGUGGUGCAAUCUCGGCUCACUGCAACCUCUGUCUCCUGGGUUCAAGCGAUUCUUGUGCCUCAGCCUCCACAGUAGCUGGGACUACAGGCACGGGCCACCACGCCUGGCCAAUUUUUGUAUUUUUAGUAGAUACGGGGUUUCACCAUGUUGGCCCAGCUGGUCUCGAACUCCUGAUCUCAAGUGAUCCUCCCACCUUGGCCUCCCAAAGUGCUGGGAUUUGUUUUUAAUUUUUAAAAAUUAGCCAGGUUUUGCCAGGCGUGGUGGCUCUCACCUGUAAUCCCA